GGCUGGUCCGAGUGCAGUGGUGUUUACAACUAAUUGAUCACAACCAGUUACAGAUUCCUUUGUUGCUUUUCCACUCCCACUGAUUCACAUGACUAGCCUUAA
rnacentral:Y_RNA from 1 species